rnacentral:rRNA from 1 species
AUUGAACGCUGGCGGCAGGCCUAACACAUGCAAGUCGAGCGGCAGCGGAAAGUAGCUUGCUACUUUGCCGGCGAGCGGCGGACGGGUGAGUAAUGUCUGGGAAACUGCCUGAUGGAGGGGGAUAACUACUGGAAACGGUAGCUAAUACCGCAUAACGUCGCAAGACCAAAGAGAGGGACCUUCGGGCCUCUUGCCAUCAG